UGAAAAAACCAGUAAGAUUUAAACUGGAAAUGUUACUGGUCAGACCGGAAAUGCCACUGGUCACACUGGAAAUGCCACUGGUCAAACUGGAAAAGACUGGAAAUUGGACUGGCAAUACUGGAAACCAGUUGAUACUGGUCACUGGAUAUACUGGAUUUUCACUGGAUACACUGGAAACCAGUGUACACUGGUAACUGGCAAAACUGGAGUAUCACUGGAUACACUGGUUGCUGACUGUACUGGAUUUUAACGGGGUGCACUGGAAACUAGUCUACCGCACUGGAGUUUCACUGGGACAAGUGAAACUGGCGCUAGAUAUAGUGUAAUCCAGUGUACACUGAUUACAGAUCAUAGUCCCACUGGAGUAGUGUCCUAUAGAGAUCAGAGAUGUGUUAGUUUUACUCAUAACCUUCAAAAAGUAAUUAGUCACUUCUUUAUAUGCAUAACGCUAAAUCGCUACUUUUGUACAGUAUAUGCAUAUGCAGUUACUGGGUAUUAGUCAUUACAUUGUCUUCAAGUUGUUAACAGAGUUACAUUAGCCGUCAAGAAUAUAAUGGCAUUAUACAUUACACGCUGUAUGCGCACUUGGGUCUCGAAAACAUAAUGAAUUACGCGCUGCCGCAUUUUUGCAACGCAUUACCGGUAAUGCGCUACUUCAAACAUGAUAUAACAUGGUUAAUCAAUUAUGCGCUAGUUGCAAUCAGUCGCAGUAAGUCACCCUGGUAUGGAAGCUAUGUGGAUUUCUGAAUCUUUGACGUCGAGACGUCAGCGUCGAUAAACGAAUCCCAGAUGAAUCUGGGAUUCGUCAACGCCAGCUCAUUUCUUCGCUCCGAUUUUAUGUCGGCACAGUUCACAUAGAAUGCGGCCCAGGAUGCAUAUUCCCCACGGCGUCAGUCGUAACGUUGUCCACUUCUAUGAAGUCGACAACAGCGAGCUCUUUCACCAUCAUCACCACCGUCGCUCAAUUAAACAACAAAAAAAGAAACAAAACAAAAACAAAAACACUUGCUUGAUUAUCGAAACUCAAGGCAUUCGUGAUCUUUCGUUAUUCACGUCCUCAUACGGAAUUUGUCGGCACAAUAACAUAAAAACUGUGGAAAAUUUAAGUCAUUAAAGUCACCAAACCGUCGCUUGUUUCGGUUUCAAAGCGCUGCGUCCAGCAACCAUGUAGAAAGAGCACAAAGCAGCGUUUAGCGGGCUGCUGGCUUCCUCGUGGUUUCUUGUGUUGAACUCAUGUCUAUGUUAUCGUGGAGUUUAAUCGGCAAGAUAUACUGCAUCUCGUGCGUGACGUUUGUUGUUGCUAUUCGUCUGACGACGCAAAAGCUGUUGUGCCAGUGCCGUGACUACAUGCCGCACAACUUGCCGGACCAGCCCGGACCAGGACCAUGCCGAAAUUGGUGCCUCAUGUCAAGCACACAAAAGAAAAAGCGAGGCAGCAUUUGCAACACAUCACUUCACGGUAUAUGUGAAAGCAUACUUCGGCAAAUAAGGAGUACAUCAGAAGGACACCAUGGGACGCUUCAGAGUCUGGAUGUACCAUAUCUGCUGAAAAUCUUGCACCACAGAGGCUGCUCGAUGGAUGGAUGGAUGGAUGGAUGGAUUACAACCCUGAUGAAGCAGCGAAGCUCAAGGGGACAACAGGUGCACGACACUAUCAUUGCUGGACAAAAUUGAGGUUGAACAGAAAGAUGCCGCACAGGGAACGAGCAUGUCACUCAAACUGUUUGACCGGAAAACGUGGAGCAAGAGGAAACUUCCACACAAUACUACAAAAAAAAGUAGACUUAGAAGUAUAUGUAUACGGGAGAGCACCUUUGGUGGAAGAGGCUUGUCGGCCGACACAGUUAUUUGAUUCACCUUGGGGUUGACAGUUUUCUUCCUGAGAACUUCAUGUGCGUACAGCGGGGCACAAUCAACAACAAGUUAGUCAACAAUUUGAUGCAGCCUUUCUGGACACAAGAUGGUACGGCGACUAGUUGCAUUUCAGGGCAACCGUACCAGAGAGCAGGCAUUCAUGCGCUCGUCACAGGCAACACCAGAGAAGCUGGACUCCAUUACAUAAAUGGCAUGCCACAUUGAGGGCCUACAUUGAGGGCCACCAGACUGACCUUCUAAAAGAAGCAAAGCUAGAACUAGUCAGGUGAAUCUUUGGAGAUUUGGUCUUGGAGAUGUUGCCCAGCAAGACAAAAACGGAAAAGUGACACAAUAAAGAAAAUAAACCUGGGAAUAGUGAAUGAGUUCUUAUGUAUUUCUCGGUCUACACCACGAUGCAUGCAGAUUAGGGCCAGACUUUAUGUGCCUCUCAGGAUAUGACACUGCGUGCAGAGCAGGAUUUGCAAAAGCCGAUGGGCCUGCACCCAUGUGACCACACUGGACUUUCCAGUAAGACCAGUGUCCACACUGUACAUUCCAGUAAGACCAGUGCCCACACUGGACCGUCCAG